rnacentral:rRNA from 1 species
ACGGGGUGCAGCAGGCGCGAACACUUUACAAUGCGGGAAACCGCGAUAAGGGAACCCCGAGUGCCAGCAUCAAAUGUUGGCUGUCCAGAUGAUUAAAAAUCAUUUGUUAGCAAGGGCCGGGCAAGACCGGUGCCAGCCGCCGCGGUAACACCGGCGGCCCGAGUGGUAGCCGUUUUUAUUGGGUCUAAAGGGUCCGUAGCCGGCCUGAUAAGUCCUUUGGGAAAUCUGGCAGCUUAACUGUCAGGCUUCUAAGGGAUACUGUCAGGCUUGGGACCGGAAGAGGUAAGGGGUACUCCAGGGGUAGGAGUGAAAUCUUGUAAUCCCUGGGGGACCAUCUGUGGCGAAGGCGCCUUACCAGAACGGGUCCGACGGUGAGGGACGAAAGCUAGGGGAGCAAACCGGAUUAGAUACCCGGGUAGUCCUAGCUGUAAACGAUGCUCGCUAGGUGUCAAACACGGUGCGACCGUGUUUGGUGCCGCAGGGAAGCCGUUAAGCGAGCCACCUGGAAGUACGUCGCAAGGC